GGAGGGCCUGUGGCUCAGAGGUAGAAGCAUCUGCUUUGUAUGCAAAAAGUCCUAAAUUCAACCCCCAGCAUCUCCA
rnacentral:tRNA from 1 species